ACACGACUACAUUAGAUACCCGUGUAGUCCUAGCCGUAAACGAUACUCGCUAGGUGUCGGCCACGGUGCGACCGUUGUCGGUACCGUAGGGAAGCCGUGAAGCGAGCCACCUGGGAAGUACGGCCGCAAGGCUGAAACUUAAAGGAAUUGGCGGGGGAGCACAACAACGGGUGGAGCUUGCGGUUUAAUUGGAUUCAACGCCGGAAAUCUCACCGGGACCGACAGCAACAUGAAGGCCAAGCUGAAGACUUUGCCGGAUUAGCUG
rnacentral:rRNA from 1 species